GUAAGACGGCGUGCGACAGAAACAACAUCAGGAUGUGACCCAGCUGGACAUGGACCUGACAUACUGAGGCCACAAUUUUCAGGUUUUGUAUGUUUUGAAUGCCCCUCUAAUGCCACAGAUAGUAAUUGUGAGAGCUAUAACAAUAAUAUUAAUGUUGAUAUUCAGGAUACAAGUUCUUUCUGUCGGAUACUUCUGGAGGCGCAAGGUGGUAAAGAUGGAACUCUGUGUAGGAAAUACCCCAGCACUGGUUAUAAAGUAACAUGUGACGUGUAUGGUGGAACUGUUUGCACAGAAACGUGUGGUACAAAUGGUGCAACGGUCCAAACUAUCAACACAAUGCUAUUAUUAUUCUCCGUCUUGUCUUGUAUUUCCAUAUCAUUUUAUAACAUGUAAUGUUGUGAAAAGUUCAA